rnacentral:lncRNA from 1 species
CGGACUGGUACCGGGGCGUCAAUAAUACUAGCUAUCGUCACUGAUUGGCCAGUUUGCUCUACUUCUCUAGCCUGGGCACAAACAUAGGCUAUCGGUAAUGGUUGAGUCUUUUCCUUGUAAACGUACAACCCAUCACUGUUGCACUGCGUUGUGCGUUCCAAAAUUUUAAUUCUGUAAUUUAAUGGUUCACAACUUUUAUGUGACCCGAUGCAACUUGUACAGUUUGUUUUGGCGUAAUAUAAACUUUUUGGAAAUAUACCAUCACGUUGAUUUUCUGAUCCAAUCGUCCAUGGACAAAGGCUUCUGAACAUCAAUGGGUCGUUACCUUUCCCUGUAACCGUACAGAAACUUGGACUGGAAGCACGGGAAUUACUCAUACUGACUAAUGCGUUAAACCUGGCAUCAAUAUCAUUUUCUGUCCAAUCAGAAUCCAGAAAUAAUUUUCGCAUAUCAAGU